rnacentral:rRNA from 1 species
UGGGGAAUAUUGGACAAUGGGGGCAACCCUGAUCCAGCAAUGCCGCGUGUGUGAAGAAGGUCUUCGGAUUGUAAAGCACUUUCGACGGGGACGAUGAUGACGGUACCCGUAGAAGAAGCCCCGGCUAACUUCGUGCCAGCAGCCGCGGUAAUACGAAGGGGGCUAGCGUUGCUCGGAAUGACUGGGCGUAAAGGGCGUGUAGGCGGUUUACACAGUCAGAUGUGAAAUCCCCGGGCUUAACCUGGGAGCUGCAUUUGAUACGUGUAGACUAGAGUGUGAGAGAGGGUUGUGGAAUUCCCAGUGUAGAGGUGAAAUUCGUAGAUAUUGGGAAGAACACCGGUGGCGAAGGCGGCAACCUGGCUCAUGACUGACGCUGAGGCGCGAAAGCGUGGGGAGCAAACAGGAUUAGAUACCCUGGUAGUCCACGCUGUAAACGAUGUGUGCUAGAUGUUGGGUAACUUUGUUAUUCAGUGUCGCAGUUAACGCGUUAAGCACACCGCCUGGGGAUACGGGCCGCAAGGUUGAAAC